ACGCUCACGAACAUAGAUAUUUGCUAAUUUGCAAAAAUUGUCAGCUUCCUUUAUUUUAUAGACCAAUUUUAAAAAAGGACUCUUUAGGAAACUUAACAUACAUAAUUUUUAACGCUGUACAUCUCGAUAGUGAAAAACAUAUAAAAAGUUUAGCUUCAGCUUUGAGCGACACAAAAACUAAAAUAGAUUCAGUGAAUCACGGUAAGUCUGGUGUGACCACUAUUAGCACUCUUGAAGAAGAAGAAGCGGAGCUGGAGGCUCAAGAUGCUGGAGACAGUUUUACCGAGAACGCAAAGAUAAUUGAACAAAGACUUGGAGGCUCCAAACGUAAACCUGAAACCAGCAGAAGUGAUCUUGGUUACAAGCGAUCUACUUUAGGAACUUUGAUGAAAUGAAGUUGUUGAAGUUAUUGGUGGAUUAUUAGUUA